rnacentral:rRNA from 1 species
GAGACAGCAGCCGCCGCGGGAAAACGUAGGUGGCAAGCGUUGUCCGGAAUUAUUGGGCGUAAAGGGCUCGCAGGCGGUUUCUUAAGUCUGAUGUGAAAGCCCCCGGCCCAACCGGGGAGGGUCAUUGGAAACUGGGAAACUUGAGUGCAGAAGAGGAGAGUGGAAUUCCACGUGUAGCGGUGAAAUGCGUAGAGAUGUGGAGGAACACCAGUGGCGAAGGCGACUCUCUGGUCUGUAACUGACGCUGAGGAGCGAAAGCGUGGGGAGCGAACAGGAUUAGAUACCCCAGUAGUCCCUGUCUCUUAUAC